CAUAUACGCACGGCAUAACACUUACAUCAAUAAUAAUGAAGAUGUCGAUGGAGCCAAAAUUUCGACAAGUGAUCUUCAUCAAGGCCACGCUUUUGCCCCAAUGAAGACAAGUCAACAAACCGGCACACUGUUUUCAGCGACGUUCUUUCUCGAAAAACUUCUGGUUGCUUCUGACUCCGUGCCUCUGAACUUCAGUCUUGUUUGGUACACAACUGCUGUAAGACACUAUGCCCAUCGUCAUAAUAAACGCGAAUUAAUCAAA